rnacentral:rRNA from 1 species
AUUGAACGCUGGCGGCAGGCCUAACACAUGCAAGUCGAGCGGAGCGGCGGACGGGUGAGUAAUGCCUAGGAAUCUGCCUGGUAGUGGGGGAUAACGUCCGGAAACGGGCGCUAAUACCGCAUACUAUCAGAUGAGCCUAGGUCGGAUUAGCUAGUUGGUGGGGUAAAGGCCUACCAAGGCGACGAUCCGUAACUGGUCUGCGAGGAUGAUCAGUCACAUUGGGACGGAGAUACGGCCCAAAAUCAGACGGGGGGCAGCAGUGGGGAAUAUGGCACAAGGGGGGAAACUCUGAUGCAGCAACGCCGCGUGCGGGAUGACGGCCUGCGGGUUGUAAACCGCUUUCAGCCAUGACGCGGUAGUGGCAGAAGAAGCACCGGCUAACUACGUGCCAGCAGCCGCGGUAAUUC